rnacentral:rRNA from 1 species
CAGUAGCCACGGUAAAACGAAGGGUGCAAGCGUUACUCGGAAUUACUGGGCGUAAAGCGUGUGUAGGUGGUUGUUUAAGUCUGUCGUGAAAGCCCUGGGCUCAACCUGGGAAUUGCGAUGGAUACUGGGCGACUAGAGUGCGGUAGAGGAUAGUGGAAUUCCCGGUGUAGCAGUGAAAUGCGUAGAGAUCGGAAGGAACAUCUGUGGCGAAGGCGACUAUCUGGGCCAACACUGACACUGAGACACGAAAGCGUGGGGAGCAAUCAGGAUUAGAUACCCGCGUAGUCCCUGUCUCUUAUAC